GUAAAACGAGGUGGAAAGGGCGACCAUACACCUAACGCAUAUUCUUAGAAAUAUGGGGGUCAGAGAGAUGAAAGACAUGCCCGACUUUCCGUUUUAC
rnacentral:ncRNA from 12 species